CUUAAUAGGUAAACAUGCAGUACACUACCAGAUCCUAAUAGAUUUUCGACGUCUGUUCCUACGGGAAGCCCACCACAAAACAGGUUUAAAGAACAUGGAAGAUCCAGUUUAGUAGAGAGAAGAGGAGGACCUAGACUAGAUGGCAUCACGCAAUCUAAUAUAUCUCCUAAUUAUGAAGAAAGUGUGAUGAAUGGUAACCUAAGUGCUCCAGGGUUAUUAGCUCCUCCCUCCAGAAACGGCGGAACUAGUCCACAACGACCAUCAAGAAGAAAAAAUUCACCUUACUAGGCUCAAAUUAUUUUCCAGUUUUUAGAAAAACGAAACAAAAUUGUUCAGAAGCCGUUUUUCUUAAUUUUGGCGGGAACAAAAGAUGUUUAUUGUUAAAGGAAAUUUUCUCAAAAAAAAGAUGUUUAUGUAUUGCUAGGUUGCUCGCGAGAAACGGGUUUUCCAAUCAUCAAUUUAAUAAUUAUUAAAGCCAAAAUAUCUUUUAUUUUUCGCGAGCACUCCUUUUAAACAAAAAGAAAUUUGUAAAAAUGCGUGGCAUUCAUGAACAGUUUUUUUUCGCCUAAUUUUCUUCAAUCCAUUCCUGGAGACUGCUCAAUACAAGUAGUUCAACCUCCAUCUUGUUUUGUAUACUCAAGGGGACUGUUCCCGAGAUGUUAAAAGGGACUAUACUGUAGACGUAAUUUCAAGUUACCUUUCAUAAUUUCAUGUACCGUUGUACACAUUACAUGCCACUCAACAAAUGGAGGGUUACAUGAUAUGAUGUCUCCAGAGUCCCAAUUUAAUGAAUUUGAGCCGCGCCAUAAACCGGUUUCAAUUAAGCGCCGGCUUAAAUCUUGAAAAAUUGAAUACAAUUUUGAGUAGAACCAAUAAUCUUUGAGCCCCAGCUUAAAUUUAAACCGCGGCUCAAAUUUAUCAAAUUCGGACUCUGUCCAUUAAAAUCCAUGCUCCAACCCUUGAUGUAUUGUUAAUACAACUUUUAGACCUAAACUUUUUUAUAAUUUUUAUAAUUUCUGGUUUUGUUAUACCUUGGAACCAGCUUAAAACCCCGCCCCAUAUAUUAAAAGAAUCAGAGGAACUUCAAAAAAAAUUUAAUGCGAUAGAAAUUCGUAAAGAUGAAAAAGACACAUUUUCGAACAAUUUGUAAUUUAUUAUGCUGCUGUAUAUUGAUAACAACCCUGUCCAUGCCAAUAUAUAUAUUUUGAAUAAUUUGCAUCCUUUGAAUUUCUUAUACAUACUUUACGUGCACAGAAUAGGUUUGUAUUUUUACCCUUGAAAUAAAUAUUUGAUGAAAA